AUUGAACGCUGGCGGCAGGCCUAACACAUGCAAGUCGAACGAGUGGCGGACGGGUGAGUAAUGUCUGGGAAACUGCCUGAUGGAGGGGAUAACUACUGGAAACGGUAGCUAAUACCGCAUACCAUCGGAUGUGCCCAGAUGGGCUUAGCUAGUAGGGUGGGUAAAGGCUCACCUAGGCAACGAUCCCUAGCUGGUCUGAGAGGAUGACCAGCCACACGGGAACUGAGACACGGUCUAGACUCCUACGGGAGGCAGCAGUGGGGAAUAUUGCACAAUUGGCGCAAGCCUGAUGCAGCCAUGCCGCGUGUAUGAAGAAGGCCUUCGGGUUGUAAAGUACUUUCAGCGGGGAGGCGUUACCCGCAGAAGAAGCACCGGCUAACUCCGUGCCAGCCGCCGCGGUAAUUC
rnacentral:rRNA from 1 species